rnacentral:rRNA from 1 species
UACGUAGGGUGCGAGCGUUGUCCGGAAUUAUUGGGCGUAAAGGGCUCGUAGGCGGUCUGUCGCGUCGAAAGUGAAAACUCAGGGCUUAACCCUGAGCCUGCUUCCGAUACGGGCAGACUAGAGGUAUGCAGGGGAGAACGGAAUUCCUGGUGUAGCGGUGAAAUGCGCAGAUAUCAGGAGGAACACCUGCGGCGAAGGCGGGUUGCUGGGCUGACACUGACGCUGAUGCGCGAAAGCCAGAGGAGCGAACGGG